rnacentral:rRNA from 1 species
CCUACGUGUGGCAGCAGUGAGGAAUAUUGGUCAAUGGGCGCGAGCCUGAACCAGCCAAGUAGCGUGAAGGAUGACUGCCCUACGGGUUGUACACUUCUUUUAUAAAGUAAUAAAGUGAGGCACGUGUGCCUUUUUGUAUGUACUUUAUGAAUAAGGAUCGGCUAACUCCGUGCCAGCAGCCGCGGUCAUCCGGAGGAUCCGAGCGUUAUCCGGAUUUAUUGGGUUUAAAGGGAGCGUAGAUGGGUUGUUACGUCAGUUGUGAAAGUUUGCGGCUCAACCGUAAAAUUGCAAUUGCUACUGGCAGUCGUGAGUACAGUUGAGGUAGGCGGAAUUCGUGGUGUAGCGGUGAAAUGCUUAGAUAUCACGAAGAACUCCGAUUGCGAAGGCAGCUUACUAAACUGCCACUGACAUUGAUGCUCGAAAGUGUGGGUAUCAAACAGGAUUAGAUACCCCUGUAGUC